rnacentral:rRNA from 1 species
CCCAGACUCCUACGGGAGGCAGCAGUGGGGAAUAUUGGACAAUGGGGGGAACCCUGAUCCAGCGACGCCGCGUGAGUGAAGAAGUAUUUCGGUAUGUAAAGCUCUAUCAGCAGGGAAGAAAGAAAUGACGGUACCUGACUAAGAAGCCCCGGCUAACUACGUGCCAGCAGCCGCGGUAAUACGUAGGGGGCAAGCGUUAUCCGGAUUUACUGGGUGUAAAGGGAGCGUAGACGGCGAUGCAAGUCUGAAGUGAAAGGCGGGGGCCCAACCCCCGGACUGCUUUGGAAACUGUUGAACUAGAUUGCAGGAGAGGUAAGGGGAAUUCCUAGGGUAGCGGUGAAAUGCGUAGAUAUUAGGAGGAACGCCAGUGGCGAAGGCGGCUUACUGGACUGUAAAUGACGCUGAGGCUCGAAAGCGUGGGGAGCAAACAGGAUUAGAUACCCCCGUAC